rnacentral:rRNA from 1 species
GUGGGGAAUCUUAGACAAUGGGGGAAACCCUGAUCUAGCCAUGCCGCGUGAUCGAUGAAGGCCUUAGGGUUGUAAAGAUCUUUCAGCUGGGAAGAUAAUGACGGUACCAGCAGAAGAAGCCCCGGCUAACUCCGUGCCAGCAGCCGCGGUAAUACGGAGGGGGCUAGCGUUAUUCGGAAUUACUGGGCGUAAAGCGCACGUAGGCGGAUCAGAAAGUCAGAGGUGAAAUCCCAGGGCUCAACCUUGGAACGGCCUUUGAAACUCCUGGUCUUGAGUUCGAGAGAGGUGAGUGGAAUUCCGAGUGUAGAGGUGAAAUUCGUAGAUAUUCGGAGGAACACCAGUGGCGAAGGCGGCUCACUGGCUCGAUACUGACGCUGAGGUGCGAAAGCGUGGGGAGCAAACAGGAUUAGAUACCCCAGUAGUCC